rnacentral:lncRNA from 1 species
AGGACAGAGUGGUAUGAUGGAUGAUAUAUGACAGUGAAGCCAAGCCAAGUGCUGAAUCUCUCCAGUUGUCAUUGCAUUGGUGUGUGGGGUCAGAUGUUAUCAUGCUGAAGGAGAGGCUGCUCUAUAAGUGAACAAACUCUUUGAAUUUAUGUUUUCAGUUUUCAGAGAGUUGCACAGUACUUUUCCGAAUUUAUAGUACUACCAGUAGCCAUGAAUUCCAGGUGUGCACCACAUCUUGAAUAUCCCAGAUGAUUAUGAGUUUGCUUGUUGAUGGCAUAGUUUGAACAUUUUGAUACAAGUUAUCUUUUGUGACAAAUUCCAUGGAUAUUCUCUUGCUUUCAGGAUUAAAAUGGUGUGCCCAACUUUCAUCUCCUGUGGUAAUAUUAUUUAAGAAUCCAUCACCUUCACAUUCAUAGCUCAGAAGUAAUUGUUGACUAAUGUCCAAUCUCUUCUGUUUGCUGUGAGGAAUGACCAUUUGAAGUGCCCAUCAUGCACAAAGUUUUCAGAAUUCCAGUUCUGCAAUUAUCAUCUGCACAUGCUCCCAUGAUAUGCCACAUUUGGCUGAUAGCUGUCCUAUGUUAUGCGAUGAUUCUCUCUAAUGAAUUUAUCAACAUGAUUCUGAUGUGCUUCAUCGAUUGCAAUACAUGUUCUUCCACUUCAUUCUUUGACACACAAGUUGAGAGUUGUAUCACUGUUUUUUUCAUUAUGAGCACUAAUAGCCCAACUACAUAGAAAUGAAGCACUCAAGGCAGGUGCAUUUUGUUAUUUAAUGUGGCCCCUUAAAGAACAAAAAUGUGCUUGCUUUUGAGUGCUUGAUUUCUAUGUAGUAUUAUAUGAAAGCAAGAAGUCUAGUUAAUUACUGGUUGAAAAUAACCCAAUAGUGCACAGUACUCAUGUCUAUGCAUUCAUCCUCCUGUAAACAGCAUUCUUUUUCUGAUGAAUGUCAAUUUGGAAGCACAUUUUCUGCAGUUAGAAACUCUCACCACACAUGCUUCAGAUGCAUUGAUAUAGUGUUGUUACAUGUUGCUAUAUUUCUGACUAUAACUCGGAGAUCUUUAAUGGCAGAAGUCUGAAAUGUAUGUCAGUGAAGCAGAAAAGUCUACUGAGUAGAAUGCAUGAUAGAAUACUCCAACAUAUGUUUAGAAAAAAACAAAAGUUAGGAGGUAUUAUUUUUCAGCAUGCCUAUGUAUUUAUAUAAUUUAGGUUUAAGUUAGAGAGCUGCUUCCCUCCCAAUGAAUAUGCAAUGCCAGAUAUUGCACUUUUAUUUAGUAGUACAUCUGAAUAAAUCAAAAUUAUAAAAAUUUUAUUAUGCUACAUCUUUUGAAGGUUUUUAUACUGUUGUUAGAUCUUUCAAAUAAAUUGUUGUAAUUAGAAAAAAUUAAAAUCCUAUAUGUAUUUCUGACUUUUGGUAAUGGAUUAGUGAUGCUUUUCAGCUAUCAUUUAAAAAUUAUUAAUAUAGUAUUGUGUGUAUGUAAUGCUAUAUACAUACAGGUAGUCCCUAGUAAAUGUAGAUUUAUAGUUAUGUAGAUUCCCUGACUAAAAUCAAAAAAAUAUAAUGAUUAUAGUGGUUAAAGCUGUAACAGAGAAAUAUGAGCUCUUUUCUCUCUAAUUUCAUCAUUUAUGAUUAUAUAUAUAUAUAUAUGCUUAUUAAAUUAGUUUUAAUUAAUGAGCUGGAUCCAGACCUCUCCUGAAAAUUUGAAGGUGUGGGAUUCUGAAUUGAAUCUGGAUCUCCAGGUUGGUAAGGGACUG